GACGAACCGAGCGAACGUUGUUCGGAAUCACUGGGCUUAAAGGGCGCGUAGGCGGGCUGCCGCGUCCGGGGUGAAAUCCCACGGCUCAACCGUGGAACGGCCCCGGUUACGGGCGGCCUCGAGGAAGGUAGGGGCGUGCGGAACUGUGGGUGGAGCGGUGAAAUGCGUUGAUAUCCACAGGAACUCCGGUGGCGAAGGCGGCACGCUGGACCUUUUCUGACGCUGAGGCGCGAAAGCCAGGGGAGCGAACGGG
rnacentral:rRNA from 1 species